rnacentral:rRNA from 1 species
UGGGGAAUAUUGGACAAUGGGCGAAAGCCUGAUCCAGCCAUGCCGCGUGUGUGAAGAAGGUCUUCGGAUUGUAAAGCACUUUAAGUUGGGAGGAAGGGCAGUAAGCGAAUACCUUGCUGUUUUGACGUUACCGACAGAAUAAGCACCGGCUAACUCUGUGCCAGCAGCCGCGGUAAUACAGAGGGUGCAAGCGUUAAUCGGAAUUACUGGGCGUAAAGCGCGCGUAGGUGGUUCGUUAAGUUGAAUGUGAAAGCCCCGGGCUCAACCUGGGAGCUGCAUCCAAAACUGGCGGGCUAGAGUGGGUCAGAGGGUGGUGGAAUUUCCUGUGUGGCGGUGAAAUGCGUAGAUAUAGGAAGGAACACAAGUGGCGGAGGCGACCACCUGGGCGCAUACUGACACUGAGGUGCGAAAGCGUGGGGAGCAAACAGG